UCCUACGGGAGGCAGCAGUGGGGAAUAUUGCACAAUGGGCGAAAGCCUGAUGCAGCAACGCCGCGUGAGUGAUGAAGGCCUUCGGGUUGUAAAGCUCUGUCUUUGGGGACGAUAAUGACGGUACCCAAGGAGGAAGCCACGGCUAACUACGUGCCAGCAGCCGCGGUAAUACGUAGGUGGCGAGCGUUGUCCGGAUUUACUGGGCGUAAAGGAUGCGUAGGUGGAUAUUUAAGUGAGAUGUGAAAUACCCGAGCUUAACUUGGGUGCUGCAUUUCAAACUGGAUAUCUAGAGUGCAGGAGAGGUAAGUGGAAUUCCUAGUGUAGCGGUGAAAUGCGUAGAGAUUAGGAAGAACACCAGUGGCGAAGGCGACUCUCUGGACUGUAACUGACGCUGAGGCAUGAAAGCGUGGGUAGCAAACAGGAUUAGAUACCCUGGUAGUCCACGCCGUAAACGAUGAGUACUAGGUGUAGGAGGUAUCGACUCCUUCUGUGCCGCAGUUAACACAAUAAGUACUCCGCCUGGGAAGUACGAUCGCAAGAUUAAAACUCAAAGGAAUUGACGGGGGCCCGCACAAGCAGCGGAGCAUGUGGUUUAAUUCGAAGCAACGCGAAGAACCUUACCUGGACUUGACAUCCCCUGAAUAGUGCAGAGAUGCAUGAAGCCCUUCGGGGCAGGGAGACAGGUGGUGCAUGGUUGUCGUCAGCUCGUGUCGUGAGAUGUUAGGUUAAGUCCUGCAACGAGCGCAACCCUUAUCAUUAGUUGCUACCAUUAAGUUGAGCACUCUAGUGAGACUGCCCGGGUUAACCGGGAGGAAGGUGGGGAUGACGUCAAAUCAUCAUGCCCCUUAUGUCCAGGGCUACACACGUGCUACAAUGGUGAGUACAGAGAGAUGCAAGACCGCGAGGUGGAGCCAAACUCAAAAACUCAUCCCAGUUCGGAUUGUAGGCUGCAACUCGCCUACAUGAAGCCGGAGUUGCUAGUAAUCGCGAAUCAGAAUGUCGCGGUGAAUACGUUCCCGGGCCUUGUACACACCGC
rnacentral:rRNA from 1 species